GACGAACCACACAAACGUUAUUCGGAAUCACUGGGCUUAAAGGGCGCGUAGGCGGGCCACCAAGUCAGGGGUGAAAUCCCACGGCUCAACCGUGGAAGUGCCCUUGAUACUGGUGGCCUCGAGGGAGGCAGGGGCGUGCGGAACUUUGGGUGGAGCGGUGAAAUGCGUAGAUAUUGGGAGGAACACCAGUGGCGAAGGCGGCUCACUGGACCGGUACUGACGCUGAGGCGCGAAAGCGUGGGGAGCAAACGGG
rnacentral:rRNA from 1 species